UUAAUUAACACCAUUUUUGUGAUUGCUACAUUUUUUGCCACUAGGUGAUAAAACAUAACUGGCAUGAUGACUUUCUGCCAAGAUCCAGUAUUUAUGUGUGAAAAUGAUGCUUUGACAGAUUAUGAUUAUGUGAGCUUUGCGUUCAUACAUAAUUUAUUGUGAUGCUGUUCACUUCUCACACUUCCCUCAAAGGUAAACUUGUGGCAUUGGCAGUAGUAGAUGAGAAGAAUCCGCCUGAAAAAAGCAUUCGUUACAAAACUCUGAUGGAAAGGCUGUCAACUGAAUACAGAGAUCAUUACAAAAGUGAUUACCAGUUUGGUUAUAUGGAUGGUAAUGAAUAUAUCAACGGUUUAAUUAUGGGGUGAGUU